rnacentral:rRNA from 1 species
UACGUAGGGGGCAAGCGUUGUCCGGAUUUACUGGGCGUAAAGAGCGCGUAGGCGGAAGGUGAAGCGUGGCCUGAAAGCCCCCGGCUCAACCGGGGAAGGCGGCUGCGAACUGGCCUUCUUGAGGGCGAUAGAGGGGGGCGGAAUUCCUGGUGUAGCGGUGAAAUGCGUAGAGAUCAGGAGGAACACCCGUGGCGAAGGCGGCCCCCUGGGUCGGCCCUGACGCUGAGGCGCGAAAGCGUGGGGAGCGAACGGG